GUUGUUUGUUUGUUAUGCCAGAUUUUCCGGUCCGGUCGGUCGACUCACGGGAUGCAAACAAAGUCUACCUACAGUUUUUCGUAUUGUUGACGGUCACAUUACGAGUGUACUACCGCCUCUCGCCAGCAGGGGGCAGCAGACCACCAGUGUUGAUGAUGUGGCUGCAGGAUCACGAACAGACUCCUGACAUCAUGACGUAUUGCUGUUGCUCCGUGAUGAUGAGGAUAAUGUUCUAUGGUUAUGGGAAUGAAACAAAACAUAGUGGGAGAUAAGAUGGUUUUAUACGAGUCAAUGAUCCAUCAAACAACAACAACAACAACAACAACAACAACAACAACAGCUACCUGUAGGACAUACGGUGUUGUAAUUUAAACUCUAAUCUUUUCUCAUUUAAACCCCUCGAUUGACCUUUUGACCUUCAUCACCUGUCAAGCUUUUAUGAAAACUAAUACUACGCCAUUAAUACCCGUCAGUGGAUCUGUGGACUUCUGUGGCGGGAGGAAGGCUUUUAAAAAGAACGACACUGAAGAGAGACAGAAAAUAACCGUGAGAUGCAAUAAAAGAACCAGGAAGUCAAGGCACUCGGUCAUCCUCCAGGACAGUGUCAUGACCUCUUUGACCUCAUUUUUGUAGUUUUUAGUAGCCUUUCUCGCUCUAAUGCCCCUAUUAUCUGUCUAAAUGCUGCUUUUUAUUAUUAUUUUGCAUACAUA